UUCUUUCUGCACAAAUCUCGUUCAAGCAGCCACCGCACAUCCGUGAAUCCCUCCAAGCAUCGAAUGGCCUCGCCGUCCGAUACUUCCAACCAGGAGGCUGUUGUAAGGAAGCAAAACAAAGGAGCCCCAUUUAAGUUCUUGGUCCCUCUGAUAUACGCCCCUGCUCUUCCUCUCAUUCGGCUCACAUUGAGGAAGAACCCGGUGGUGAGGGAUCGUUUGUUCACCAUCGUCUUAGCUGGGGCUUUUGCUCAUGGGUUUUACUUGGUCACGGACAUAUAUGACAGUGAAAGCAAGUGAUGCGAGGAACUUGAAGACGGAGUAAAAUUGAGUCCUCACGUCUUUAAUAUUGGUCGGCCGAUUCUUACCCACCCCGGUGCGUGUUAGCGCUGAAAAUUUUUGCAGGACCAUAUGUCAAGUAAUAGUUGUACUACUAUUGAGUGGCUCUUGCAGACAUCCAACCAAGAUAUAGAGAUUUUACUAGUAAACUGAAUAAAUGACCAGUUCUUGCUGAUUCAUCAGGUUUAGUUGUAAGUUCUGUCAUGCUCGGUUAGUUCUCUAGCCUCUCAUCGCUGGCUUGACUGUUUAGAUAAACUCUGUGCAGAGUGUCAUGGUGGAGUGGAUAGUAGAUAGGAGGAGAUCUAUCUCUGGAGGAUUGAGAUACAUGCAUUGCCUGUAUGUCUACUUGCCUGAGUGGUGUUUUCGGGUCAUGGAAUUCGAAAGGCGAGCUCGUGAGUUCUCGAGUUUCCGGUUGUAAAAACCAUUGAGCAGGAGGCACGGUCCGCUUGCACGUAGUCGUUUUCCUUUACCUUUUGUGAAUCACCUGUUCUU